CCCUACUGAAGUCCAGAGGCACUUUUCUGAAAGGCUCUGCUUUGACCUGAAGUAUUUUAUCUAUCCUCAGUCUCAGGACACUGUUGAUGGAAUUAAGGCCAAGCACAUCUGCAAAAAAGACAUUGCUGGAGGAGGUGCAAAGAGCUGGAAACCAAGUCUCCAGUCCUGGGAAAAGCAGUGGUAUGGAAAAGCAAUGGAAAGAGCAUUUUGAAAAUGCCAUUCCACUGUUUUCUGGCCUUUAUGAUUUCUGCUGAGAAAUCCACUGUUAGUCUGAUGGGGUCUCCUUCAUAGCACCAAUGACCUGAAGAGCCUUGUUGAAGGAAGACUCCAUCUGAUGACUCAGAGCAAGUAUUUUUUAGUGUGUUAUUGUUAUUAGCAGAAAGAGGGCCAUAAAAUACAUGGGGCAAGCUGAAUAUAUCUUAGGC
rnacentral:lncRNA from 1 species